rnacentral:rRNA from 1 species
GAACUGGGUGACUAGAGUGUGUCAGAGGGAGGUAGAAUUCCACGUGUAGCAGUGAAAUGCGUAGAGAUGUGGAGGAAUACCGAUGGCGAAGGCAGCCUCCUGGGAUAACACUGACGUUCAUGCUCGAAAGCGUGGGUAGCAAACAGGAUUAGAUACCCUGGUAGUCCACGCCCUAAACGAUGUCAAUUAGCUGUUGGGCAACUUGAUUGCUUAGUAGCGUAGCUAACGCGUGAAAUUGACCGCCUGGGGAGUACGGUCGCAAGAUUAAAACUCAAAGGAAUUGACGGGGACCCGCACAAGCGGUGGAUGAUGUGGAUUAAUUCGAUGCAACGCGAAGAACCUUACCUGGUCUUGACAUGUACGGAAUCCUCCAGAGACGGAGGAGUGCCUUCGGGAGCCGUAACACAGGUGCUGCAUGGCUGUCGUCAGCUCGUGUCGUGAGAUGUUGGGUUAAGUCCCGCAACGAGCGCAACCCUUGUCAUUAGUUGCCAUCAUUAAGUUGGGCACUCUAAUGAGACUGCCGGUGACAAGCCGGAGGAAGGUGGGGAUGACGUCAAGUCCUCAUGGCCCUUAUGACCAGGGCUUCACACGUCAUACAAUGGUCGGUACAGAGGGUAGCCAAGCCGCGAGGCGGAGCCAAUCUCACAAAACCGAUCGUAGUCCGGAUUGCACUCUGCAACUCGAGUGCAUGAAGUCGGAAUCGCUAGUAAUCGCAGUCAGCAUACUGCGGUGAAUACGUUCCCGGGUCUUGUACACACCGCCCGUCACACCAUGGGAGUGGGGGAUACCAGAAGUAGGUAGGGUAACCGCAAGGAGCCCGCUUACC